UUUCAUAUUUCCUAAUCACUUUCUAAAGCUGUUUUCAAGUUUUAAUUGCUGUUCUUUUAUCAAUAUAAAUAUUUUAGUUCUAAUCAUUGUUUUUUAAUAUUAUUAUAUAGAAAUUUGAAUGUCAAUUCUUAUGUUAUUUCAAGACAUCUUUUAGUUCUUGCAAAAGUCAAUUUAAAUUUAAAAAAACAUUUACAAUAUUUUUAAUUGAGUAAACACAAGCACAAGAGGAAAGUCCUAUGUCACUCUUGGAAUGGUGCUUGCGCGAAUAUAUUUGUAGGCGUUUAUCUUGAAUCGCUGUAGGUUGUAUGCGUCGGGAAAUAUGUGAGGUGGAAGCCCGUUCCACAAAGAAGUGUUCUUCAGAUGAAUGAAUCCCGAUACAGCGACGUCCUUGGGGUAGGCAGGUGGACUCGAUGUUGAUGAGCCGCAACUGCUAGACGCGUCCUUCUUGCCGGAACAGCCCUGGGUGGAAUCAGGCCUGCCCGAUCCGCCUGAUGGACCUCCCCGACCAGCCUCCGCCCGGAGAUCCGAAUGGGAGGCGAGUUUACCUCCGGAAAGUUUUGGUUGUGAGGGCGUUAUCGUGCAUUUAUUUUUCUUCUCCAUUUCCCCCAUUGGAAACCAGACACAUCGACAUGGCGGCAAAACGUGAGUUCCAUGGAACCACUUCACGCCGCCUAAGUCCUAUUUGGUGGUAUUGAACCGGGCGAUGCAAGUGGACAACAUCUACCACCAAAGGGGUUGCUCUUUUAGUCGCCUUUUACGACAGGCAGAGCGUACCGGAGGUCUAUUCUACCCCGGCCCUCCCCGGGGAACAUAUUAUAAUUUAUAUGUAUGACAUAUUAUAACUUAUUACUCUAAUUGUGAUGUUUUCAGUGAGACUGAUGACAAAUUAACUUUAUUAUUUUAAAAAUGUCCAAAUUAAUUAAUUCCUGUUUUUCUUUAGUUGUGUUUUACGUUGGGCACCAAAAAUGUGCUUUUAUAUACAAGUUUGUCAAUAAUUCUUUUGUAUUUUAAAAAAAUUAAUGUGUUUUUCUAGUUGAUUGUACCUAAGUCGCUUAGAAAUAUAUUGUUCUCAUUUCUGAUCAAGAUUCAGUUAAAUUAUGCAAAAAUUAAAUAUAGAAAUUAAGAAAAAUAGGGCUAAAAAUA